rnacentral:lncRNA from 1 species
UGUAGAAAAAGCAUUAUUAUUCUAACAGGAAAUAAGUUGUCUCUUUUUUAUUUUCAGGGCCACAGAGGAUUUGCCAAGGCCACACUACUUAUCGCCAAUAGAAUACUAGCAAAAAACAAGUCUCAUUGGCUGUCAAUGUACUCUCAAGGGAGAAUCUGUUCUCCAAAGUAUUCGCCGCUCCGAGAUGGUUCAUCAUGUAGCUGUGCAGUCGCGUCCAUCCUGGAAACAUACCCUGUUCUUCAGAUGGAAAGCAGACGAGCUACAGCAGCUCCUACCCGUGCAUCCCUCCACAUCGGCGGGUGUCCUGGGGGUGCUGAGUGAGCGAGGCAACGAAUGGAGGAGGAGUGGCAUGGUGGAGGUAGGAUGGGUGUUAGUGGUGGGGGGGGUCUCAUGGCUCUACACAAUCAGAGUGGUGCCUGGUUUUAAUGAGGAGCCUGUUUAUUAAGUCCGCUCAGGGAGCCUGUGCAAGUGUUUAGCAUUUGCUCGCUAAUUAGAAAAGCUGAACAGUCCCUAUUGCUGAGGAUCAGUCAUUGGUGUGUGUGUGUGUGUGUGUGUGUGUGUGUGUGUGUGUGUGUGUGUGUGUGUGUGUGUGUGUGUGUGUGUGUGUGUGUGUGUGUGUGUGUGUGUGUGUGUGGGUGUGGAGGGGGUGAACAAUUAGCUUGAAUUUUAGGGAAAAUAUUUAUCCUCGGUCAUAGCAAAGCAAAGAUGAAGAAACGAAUUGCGUGCAGAGCACCAGCAGGUGCGUGAGGGUAAAUACAUCGAGCAAGGCCAAGUCAUUACAAGGAGCCAACCUGGUGGUUUGUCAUAGAAUCGCAACAAACCCGUCGCCUCACUUGUCUGCUUUAUUUGUGUGAAUCGCAGUUGAAACCGCAACGAGCGCCUGGUCGCCUUUACUACAUCACCAUACUUUGUGGUCACUGCAGUCCACAACAGUCAACUGAGGGCGCUCCACCUUUUCCUAAGUAUGUGUGGGUGUAGGACAUGUUUUGCAGGCCCGUGUGCGGCGCAGGAUGUCGACGGGGAAGAACAAGACCACAGCUCCUUUUAUCCGCUCAGUAAAUGCCUCCCUGAUCACCCUGCUCCCCGUCGCACAGAUUGCUGUUAAACGCGCAAGAUGAGACGAGCGCUUUCUUCAGAUUGAGACCCUGAUCACAUUUUCAUAACACAAUUUGAGGGAGAGAGGGGUCGUUGUGGGAGGACAGUGGGGGGGGGGCUUUGUCUGCAUCCAUUUCACUGUGUCAUGGAUGAUAGGGUUACAAGUUUAAUAAAAAUCUAAGUCGAUCGCGUUGUUUAGUUUUGCUAUUAAAUUUGCCGCAUUCAUGAUAUUCCGUCCAUCAUCUACACAUCUUUAUCAAUUAAGGGUCGCGGGGGGGCUGGACAUUGGGUGAGGUGUGGGGUACAGCCUGGACAGGUCGCAGCGUAUCGGAGGGCCUAGAGACAACUGGGAGAACAUGCAAACUCCACACAGAAAGGCCCCGGUUGGUUCGGGAUGCAAACCAAGAACCUUCUUGCAGUGAGACAACGGCUCUAACCACUGUGCUGCCCCAUCUUUAUUUAUACAUUUGCCAAAACUGGCCUCAACUGACUAACGCCAUUAUUGGUAUUCUAAUUUAGCUAGAAAUAGUCAUUUUUGACCUUGGAUCACAAAACGUUGACAAACAUUUCUUAGCGCAGGGCCUGUUUACUGGAAACUUUCUGGAGCUUUUCAACCAUAUCCCAUGGCCUACAUCAGGAGUUUCCUUAAAGCCUUAAACUAUCUAGAUAUCAUGAUCACGUGACACCGGGAACUGCAUGCCAAAUGAUCAUGGCCACCUCAAUGACAAGUGAGAAAACUUGGGGCUUACACAACCACUUCAAUGAGAAGCCCUGGUUCAAGAUAAGUAAUUAGAUUGGUUAUUCAAUAAAGAAACCUACAACAUCUUUUGAAAUGUCAUUUUCACCUGGGGUAUUGUGGUUGUUGAAAUCCUGGAGAUCGCAGUAAUUCAAAUUAUCCGACAGGACGUUGAGGAAGACGCUGGGAUUUCAAUUAUUUAGAUGUUACGAAAAAACCUCACGCUACAGUAAUGGAAUGGCAUCAUUCAUUUAAGCCUCCUAAUGGGGCAUGCAAUAAUAGCCCACACAGGCAUUUUCAACCUUUUACAUUACGGGCUGCAUGCAGUAAUGUGCAAUAUCGCUCUAUUGAUUGAUUCAAUGUACAUUGCCUAUUAACUUGCAUUUGUAUUUAUUCCAAUGUGCAUUUAAUCUUCAAAAAAGAUUUAUAUGUCAGCGCACCACUGCCUUUGUUUGCCUUGUGGUGUAACUCAUGUGCACUGCUCAUGAGCGAUAACAAUAUUACAAUGAUCACAGCAUCA